rnacentral:rRNA from 1 species
GAUGAACGCUGGCGGCGUGCCUAAUACAUGCAAGUCGAGCGAAUGGAUUAAGAGCUUGCUCUUAUGAAGUUAGCGGCGGACGGGUGAGUGACACGUGGGUAACCUGCCCAUAAGACUGGGAUAACUCCGGGAAACCGGGGCUAAUACCGGAUAACAUUUUGAACCGCAUGGUUCGAAAUUGAAAGGCGGCUUCGGCUGUCACUUAUGGAUGGACCCGCGUCGCAUUAGCUAGUUGGUGAGGUAACGGCUCACCAAGGCAACGAUGCGUAGCCGGCCUGAGAGGGGGAUCGGCCACAAUGGGACUGAGACACGGCCCAGACUCCUACGGGAGGCAGCAGUAGGGAAUCUUCCGCAAUGGACGAAAGUCUGACGGAGCAACGCCGCGUGAGUGAUGAAGGCUUUCGGGUCGUAAAACUCUGUUGUUAGGGAAGAACAAGUGCUAGUUGAAUAAGCUGGCACCUUGACGGUACCUAACCAGAAAGCCACGGCUAACUACGUGCCAGCCGCCGCAGUAA